ACGAGUUAGGGUCUUUUAUAGGCUCCAUCUCCCAACCCUUUGUUUACUUGACCCACGUUGCUUCGGCGAGCCCGUCUCUUUCCAGGGACCGCCGGAGGGCUGUCAAAUGCCCUCUGGCCCGCGCUCGUCGGUGGCCAAUCUUUAUAAAUUCUUGAUUAAACGUGUUUUUGAUCUGAGUACUAUUUUUAAUUAAAGCA
rnacentral:misc_RNA from 1 species